AUUGCACGCUGCGGCAGGCUUAACUCUUGGAAGUCGUGCGAGCGGCGGACGGGUGAGCAAUGCUUAGGAAUCUGCCUCUUAGUGGGGGACAACACCUUGAAAGGGAUGCUAAUACCGCAUACUAAUAGAUGCGUUUAAGUCGGUUUGGCUGGUUGGUGGGGUCAAGGCCUACCUAGGCGACGAUCUGUAGCGGGUCUGAGAGGAUGAUCCGCCACACUGUGACUUGGAGACGGCACAGACUCCUACGGGAGGCAGCAGUGGGGAAUAUUGGACAAUGGGGGGAACCCUGAUCCAGCCUUGCCGCGUGUGUGAAGGAGACCUUAUUGUUGUAAAGCACUUUAAGCGAGGAGGCGUUACUCGCAGAAUAAGCACCGGCUAACUCUGUGUCAGCAGCCGCGGUAAUAC
rnacentral:rRNA from 1 species